rnacentral:rRNA from 1 species
GAUGAACGCUGGCGGCGUGCUUAACACAUGCAAGUCGAACGAUGAAGCCCAGCUUGCUGGGUGGGUUAGUGGCGAACGGGUGAGUAACACGUGAGUAACCUGUCCUUAACUCUGGGAUAAGCCUUGGAAACUGGGUCUAAUACCGGAUAGGAGCGUCCACCGCACGGUGGGUGUUGGAAAGAUUUAUCGGUUUUGGAUGGACUCGCGGCCUAUCAGCUUGUUGGUGUGGUAAUGGCUCACCAAGGCGACGACGGGUAGCCGGCCUGAGAGGGUGACCGGCCACACUGGGACUGAGACACGGCCCAGACUCCUACGGGAGGCAGCAGUGGGGAAUAUUGCACAAUGGGCGGAAGCCUGAUGCAGCGACGCCGCGUGAGGGAUGACGGCCUUCGGGUUGUAAACCUCUUUCAGUAGGGAAGAAGCGAGAGUGACGGUACCUGCAGAAGAAGCACCGGCUAACUACGUG